UCCCUGAUGGUCCAGUGCUUAUGACUCAGCACUUUCACUGCUGUGGCCUGAGUUCAAUCCCUGGUCGGGGAA
rfam:TPA: Bos taurus chromosome 4, whole genome shotgun sequence.